GACGAACGCUGGCGGCGUGCUUAACACAUGCAAGUCGAACGGACAGGCCCUGCUUUUGUGGGGUGCUCGAGUGGCGAACGGGUGAGUAACACGUGAGUAACCUGCCCUUGACUUUGGGAUAACUUCAGGAAACUGGGGCUAAUACCGGAUAGAAGCUCCUGCUGCAUGGUGGGGGUUGGAAAGUUUCGGCGGUUGUGGAUGGACUCGCGGCUUAUCCGCUUGUUGGUGGGGUAGUGGCUUACCAAGGGUUUGACGGGUAGCCGGCCUGAGAGGGUGACCGGCCACAUUGGGACUGAGAUACGGCGCAGACGCCUACGGGAGGCAGAAGGGGGGAAUAUUGCACAAUGGGCGGAAGCCUGAUGCAGCAACGCCGCGUGCGGGAUGACGGGCUUCGGGUUGUAAACCGCUUUCGCCUGUGACGAAGCGUGAGUGACGGUAAUGGGUAAAGAAGCACCGGCUAACUACGUG
rnacentral:rRNA from 1 species